GUGCCAGCCGCCGCGGUAAUACGUAGGGGGCAAGCGUUGUCCGGAAUCAUUGGGCGUAAAGCGAGCGUAGGCGGCCCGAUAAGUCUGCUGUGAAAGUCAACGGCUCAACCGUUGAAAGCCGGUGGAUACUGUCGGGCUAGAGUUCGGAAGAGGCAAGUGGAAUUCCUGGUGUAGCGGUGGAAUGCGCAGAUAUCAGGAGGAACACCCAUAGCGAAGGCAGCUUGCUGGGACGAUACUGACGCUAAGGCUCGAAAGCGUGGGGAGCGAACAGGAUUAGAUACCCCCGUAGUCC
rnacentral:rRNA from 1 species